CUCCAUAAUACAGCUAUCGAGGUUACCAUCCUUGCGUUUUUGAAUCGUUGAAAUUAAAAGCAACGUUUUUCCCAAACGGUUGUUAAACGUUCUAGAACACACAUGCUGUCAUCUGGUCGUGAUGAUCUUUUAUCCUCUUUACUUUAUUGAAAAUCUCACCCGAAAGCGCGUUGAUAACCCGUUGAGUGUCAACAUUCAACGGCAUGCCAAUUAGUAACAACAAAGCCUGGUCCUAUAAUAAUAUACAAAUGUGGUCGGGUUCUAGUUUAGCCGUUUAACCGCAUUAAAAGGCUAAACACUAGCACGACAGCGGGAGCGUUGUGCUUCGACUAGAAGGGCAGUGUUUGGUUGUAGCCGUCCCCUCCCCCUCUCUGCUCAAACUUGCCUCUUGGUUUCGACGAGCUACUGCCUGGUGGCUCGGUAGCUGGCGGUGGCAAGCGAUGCAACCGAAAUGGAUUAGCCAAAACCCCAAAGGGGAAUCUUUACCAUUUGCAGAGGCAGUUGCCAUCCCUUCCCUUGGGGGGGUAGUAGUCGCUGCAGGUGGGUUUCCAGCGCUAGCAGGGAUAUUGCUGGAGGGGAAGCUUUCAAGUGCCAAGCUCACAGCUCCCGACCUGAUGGUGUAGGUGGUGGUGGACAACCAGUCUGUCAUGAUUGAAGUACUUUUGAAGUUGCGACAGGGGUCAGGACAAUUGUGAGAAGGCAAGGUAGGCAUGCAAAGAUGCACCUUACACUCCGUAAACAUCUAAAAAAUACAACAAAUUAAGCAAAUGACAGUUCAUUUUAGUUCAAUGACUAAUCCUAGUUAUUGAAUAUG